GGUUAAGCGACUAAGCGUACACGGUGGAUGCCCUGGCAGUCAGAGGCGAUGAAGGACGUGCUAAUCUGCGAUAAGCGUCGGUAAGGUGAUAUGAACCGUUAUAACCGGCGAUUUCCGAAUGGGGAAACCCAGUGUGUUUCGACACACUAUCAUUAACUGAAUCCAUAGGUUAAUGAGGCGAACCGGGGGAACUGAAACAUCUAAGUACCCCGAGGAAAAGAAAUCAACUGAGAUUCCCCCAGUAGCGGCGAGCGAACGGGGAGGAGCCCAGAGCCUGAAUCAGUGUGUGUGUUAGUGGAAGCGUCUGGAAAGGCGCGCGAUACAGGGUGACAGCCCCGUACACAAAAAUGCACAUAUUGUGAGCUCGAUGAGUAGGGCGGGACACGUGGUAUCCUGUCUGAAUAUGGGGGGACCAUCCUCCAAGGCUAAAUACUCCUGACUGACCGAUAGUGAACCAGUACCGUGAGGGAAAGGCGAAAAGAACCCCGGCGAGGGGAGUGAAAAAGAACCUGAAACCGUGUACGUACAAGCAGUGGGAGCACAGAGCAAUCUGUGUGACUGCGUACCUUUUGUAUAAUGGGUCAGCGACUUAUAUUCUGUAGCAAGGUUAACCGAAUAGGGGAGCCGAAGGGAAACCGAGUCUUAACUGGGCGUUAAGUUGCAGGGUAUAGACCCGAAACCCGGUGAUCUAGCCAUGGGCAGGUUGAAGGUUGGGUAACACUAACUGGAGGACCGAACCGACUAAUGUUGAAAAAUUAGCGGAUGACUUGUGGCUGGGGGUGAAAGGCCAAUCAAACCGGGAGAUAGCUGGUUCUCCCCGAAAGCUAUUUAGGUAGCGCCUCGUGAACUCAUCUCCGGGGGUAGAGCACUGUUUCGGCAAGGGGGUCAUCCCGACUUACCAACCCGAUGCAAACUGCGAAUACCGGAGAAUGUUAUCACGGGAGACACACGGCGGGUGCUAACGUCCGUCGUGAAGAGGGAAACAACCCAGACCGCCAGCUAAGGUCCCAAAGUCAUGGUUAAGUGGGAAACGAUGUGGGAAGGCCCAGACAGCCAGGAUGUUGGCUUAGAAGCAGCCAUCAUUUAAAGAAAGCGUAAUAGCUCACUGGUCGAGUCGGCCUGCGCGGAAGAUGUAACGGGGCUAAACCAUGCACCGAAGCUGCGGCAGCGACGCUUAUGCGUUGUUGGGUAGGGGAGCGUUCUGUAAGCCUGCGAAGGUGUGCUGUGAGGCAUGCUGGAGGUAUCAGAAGUGCGAAUGCUGACAUAAGUAACGAUAAAGCGGGUGAAAAGCCCGCUCGCCGGAAGACCAAGGGUUCCUGUCCAACGUUAAUCGGGGCAGGGUGAGUCGACCCCUAAGGCGAGGCCGAAAGGCGUAGUCGAUGGGAAACAGGCUAAUAUUCCUGUACUUGGUGUUACUGCGAAGGGGGGACGGAGAAGGCUAUGUUGGCCGGGCGACGGUUGUCCCGGUUUAAGCGUGUAGGCUGGUUUUCCAGGCAAAUCCGGAAAAUCAAGGCUGAGGCGUGAUGACGAGGCACUACGGUGCUGAAGCAACAAAUGCCCUGCUUCCAGGAAAAGCCUCUAAGCAUCAGGUAACAUCAAAUCGUACCCCAAACCGACACAGGUGGUCAGGUAGAGAAUACCAAGGCGCUUGAGAGAACUCGGGUGAAGGAACUAGGCAAAAUGGUGCCGUAACUUCGGGAGAAGGCACGCUGAUAUGUAGGUGAAGUCCCUCGCGGAUGGAGCUGAAAUCAGUCGAAGAUACCAGCUGGCUGCAACUGUUUAUUAAAAACACAGCACUGUGCAAACACGAAAGUGGACGUAUACGGUGUGACGCCUGCCCGGUGCCGGAAGGUUAAUUGAUGGGGUCAGCGCAAGCGAAGCUCUUGAUCGAAGCCCCGGUAAACGGCGGCCGUAACUAUAACGGUCCUAAGGUAGCGAAAUUCCUUGUCGGGUAAGUUCCGACCUGCACGAAUGGCGUAAUGAUGGCCAGGCUGUCUCCACCCGAGACUCAGUGAAAUUGAACUCGCUGUGAAGAUGCAGUGUACCCGCGGCAAGACGGAAAGACCCCGUGAACCUUUACUAUAGCUUGACACUGAACAUUGAGCCUUGAUGUGUAGGAUAGGUGGGAGGCUUAGAAGUGUGGACGCCAGUCUGCAUGGAGCCGACCUUGAAAUACCACCCUUUAAUGUUUGAUGUUCUAACGUUGACCCGUAAUCCGGGUUGCGGACAGUGUCUGGUGGGUAGUUUGACUGGGGCGGUCUCCUCCUAAAGAGUAACGGAGGAGCACGAAGGUUGGCUAAUCCUGGUCGGACAUCAGGAGGUUAGUGCAAUGGCAUAAGCCAGCUUGACUGCGAGCGUGACGGCGCGAGCAGGUGCGAAAGCAGGUCAUAGUGAUCCGGUGGUUCUGAAUGGAAGGGCCAUCGCUCAACGGAUAAAAGGUACUCCGGGGAUAACAGGCUGAUACCGCCCAAGAGUUCAUAUCGACGGCGGUGUUUGGCACCUCGAUGUCGGCUCAUCACAUCCUGGGGCUGAAGUAGGUCCCAAGGGUAUGGCUGUUCGCCAUUUAAAGUGGUACGCGAGCUGGGUUUAGAACGUCGUGAGACAGUUCGGUCCCUAUCUGCCGUGGGCGCUGGAGAAUUGAGGGGGGCUGCUCCUAGUACGAGAGGACCGGAGUGGACGCAUCACUGGUGUUCGGGUUGUCAUGCCAAUGGCACUGCCCGGUAGCUAAAUGCGGAAGAGAUAAGUGCUGAAAGCAUCUAAGCACGAAACUUGCCCCGAGAUGAGUUCUCCCUGACUCCUUGAGAGUCCUGAAGGAACGUUGAAGACGACGACGUUGAUAGGCUGGGUGUGUAAGCGCAGCGAUGCGUUGAGCUAACCGGUACUAAUGAACCGUGAGGCUUAACCUU
rnacentral:rRNA from 1 species